rnacentral:rRNA from 1 species
GUGCCAGCAGCCGCGGUAAAACGUAGGAGGCGAGCGUUAUCCGGAGUUACUGGGCGUAAAGCGCGUGUAGGUGGCUGGAUACGUCUGUUGUGAAAGCUCCCGGCUUAACCGGGAAGAUGCGGCAGAUACGGUUUGGCUGGAGGGUGACAGAGGAGCGUAGAAUUCCGGGUGUAGUGGUGAAAUGCGUAGAGAUCCGGAGGAAUACCAGUGGCGCAAGCGGCGCUCUGGGUCGCACCUGACACUGAGACGCGAAGGCAUGGGGAGCGAACGGGAUUAGAAACCCCCGUAGUCC